rnacentral:rRNA from 1 species
AGCAGCCGCGGUAAUUCCAGCUCCAAUAGCGUAUAUUAAAGUUGUUGCAGUUAAAAAGCUCGUAGUUGAAUUUCGGGACUAUUAUGUCGGUCGUGCCUCGGUACGUACUGGUAUUUUUGGUUUCUCCUUUCUGACGAACCAUGAUGUCAUUAAUUUGGUGUUAUGGGAAGUUAGGACUGUUACUUUGAAAAAAUUGAGUGUUUAAAGCAGGCUUUAGCUUGAAUACAUUAGCAUGGAAUAAUGAAAUAGGACGUUCGAACCUAUUUUGUUGGUUUCUAGGAUCAACGUAAUGAUUAAUAGGGAUAGUUGGGGGCAUUAGUAUUCAAUUGUCAGAGGUGAAAUUCUUGGAUUUAUUGAAGACUAACUACUGCGAAAGCAAUUUGCCAAGGAUGUUUUACAUUAAUCAAGAACGAAAGUUAGGGG